rnacentral:lncRNA from 1 species
GCCUGCACAUUAUAGUUCCACAUUUCUAGCCUGUGAGGGGGGCCUACCAAAGUAUCACAUUUUCAGCCUGUGGCAGGGCCUGCACAUUAUAGUUCCACAUUUCUAGCCUGUGAGGGGGCCUACCAAAGUACCACAUUUUUCAGCCUGUGACGGGGCCUGCUAUAAUAACAAGAUAAACCCAAAGUCCCUUUUCAUACAAUCCAGUUUACAUCCACACAUCAAUUCCUUUAUAUUUAUUUCCGGCUUUAAACUAACCACGGUCACAUUUCCAGCCCGUGACGGGGCAACCAAUAUCACAUAGUUAGUUUAGUGCACCACAUCCAUCAGUCCAAAUAUGUAGGUGUAAGUUAUGCGCAUGCAUGCAUCCAUCAUAAUACCAACCACAAGCGAAUACGAUCAUAAUAUCAACCACAAGCCAACACGAUCAAAAUAUAAUUUAGUAUAAAACUAUUUUCGAUUUAUCUGGAUUAUAGCAUAUCAUACAUAUCUAAGUAUAAAAAUAUUAUAUCAUGCAGGAUUGGCGUACAAGGAUCCUUACUGAAAUUGUAGACUGACUCAAAUACGGUCCGAAUCACAACCUACGCGCUGGGGUGCUGAGUCCCCUGAUCAAACCUCCUGGCUCCGCCGACUCUUCCUCUACAACAUCAAUUAUAAAUCACAACUAAAUUAUUAAUAUUUAAAUAUUCUAAACCAUAAUU